rnacentral:tRNA from 2 species
GCCGAAGUGGCGGAACUGGCAGACGCGCCGGUCUCAAAAACCGGUGGCCGCAAGGCCGUGCGGGUUCGAUUCCCGCCUUCGGCACCA